CAAAAACCGCAAUUACUUUUGCA
rnacentral:miRNA from 1 species